GAAACCAAAAGGAAAAGACAAAAAAAAAAAAAAAAAAUCUUUCUAUCUUAUUUCCCAAAUCUCUCUUCACAAUGCCAUCAACCCAAAGCUCAUCGCCACAAAUAGCAGCAAGUCAUGUAGCUGUGUGCACAUGGCCAUUUAGUAGCCAUCCAUUAGGUUUCUUCAACUUAGUUCGUAAAUUAGCCACAGAAGCUCCUCAAACUCAGUUUUCUUUCUUCAGCUUACCGAAAACAAACUCCAUUAUCAAGUCAUCUCAAAAGAACUCUCCAUUACCAACUAACCUCAUGUCCUACGACGUAGACGAUGGCAUUCCGGAAGGAGUUAAUCACUUAACAAUAGAUCAUGCCGUGGAAGUCAGGCAUUUCCUCGAACAGUUACCGUACAACUUCGAACACCGUAUUGAAGAAGUGCUGGCGGACACCGAGAGAACAACCGGUAGCCGGCGGGAAGUUACUUGCAUAAUGACGGAUGCUGUUAUCUGUUCUCCGCUGGGAAAAAUGGCGGAGGAUAUGAAUGUUCCAUGGAUAGCCUUUACGGUACCUCAUCCAAAUGAUCUUGUUUGCUAUUUUGAAAUGGAUAAAAUUCAAAAGCUUUUCGCUAAUGCUAAAAGCGAAAAUGAUCGUGUUGAUGUUAUUCCUGGAUUAUCUUCUCUACCCUUUAAAGAUUUACCCCAUGAAAUACAUUUAAGCAAGCCAAGUAAUGAACUUGUGCCAUAUUUAUAUCGUAUGGCACAAAAACUACCACAAGCAAAAGCUCUUUUGUUGAAUACCUAUGAAGAACUAAACCCAAUUCCUCUCACAAAUUAUCUAAAAUCAAAAGUUAAGAACUUACUCUACAUGGUUUGCUCAACUUUAUCGAUUACACAGGAGAAUGAUGGUAGUUCUACUUCUGCAGGUUGUUUAUUUUCAUGGCUCGAUAGACAAAAAGUUGGUUCUGUUGUCUAUGUAUCUUUUGGAACUGUUGUAGAAUUGGGUAGUGAAGAGUUAAUGGCACUAGCGGAAGCAAUUGAAUAUAGCGGUAAGCCAUUUCUCUGGUCUCUUAAAGACAAAUGCAAAGAAAAUCUUCCAGAAGGGUUUCUUGAAAGAACAAAAGAGAAAGGAAUGGUGGUUUCUUGGGCACCACAGAGAGAGAUUCUGCAACAUGGUUCAGUUGGUGUGUUUGUAAACCAUGGUGGGUAUAAUUCUAUGUGGGAGAGUAUAUUGGGCGGAGUGCCAAUGAUUUGUAGGUCAGUUUGGGCAGAUAAUCAUAUAAAUGCAAAAGUUGCAGAGGAGGUGUGGGGGGUUGCUGUGAGAGUUGAAGGUAGGGUUAUUACUAAAAGUGGAAUUGUUAAGUGCUUGGAAAUGGUUUUUGAGCAGGAAAAAGAGAAGAAAAUGAGACAGGCUUGUAAGGAACUUAGACAAGUUUUGAUCGAAGCUGAUGGUCCUGAUGGUGUUGCUGCUAAGAAUCGAAAGACUCUGUUGCACUUAAUCAGUGGCUAAAGAUCUUAUUUUAUAUGUGCAUGCAUAUAUAUAUAUAUAUAUAUAUAUAUUGCUACAUAAAUAAAUGAACAGAGGGCCAUGGUUGCUACUUAAGAUAUGUGUCUCAUGCAAAUAUUUUUCUUAUGCAAUUUUCAUACCUAAUGUAAGCAAUUAUUGAGUGAAUUGACUAUAUUUCUUUAAUUUGUCUAUAUUACUGUCAGAAAUUAAAACAAUCAUUAUUAAUGGCAAAAAUGAAAAAAAUAAUUUAUUAUUUAUGAAAUUCACAAAUGUGAUAAAUAUUUGAGAACAUAAUAUUAUCCGUUUCUUGCGUGAUGUGUUUGUAGCGCAUGGUGCCUGUCCUUAUCAAAAAAAAAAAAAAAAAAACACAUGGUGGGUACAAUUGUUUGUGGGUCUGGCAGAUAAUCAUAUAAAUGCAAAAUUGCAGGAGUGUGGGGUUGAGGGUAUAAUUAUUAGACUAAAUGAUAAAAAGAAGUCCUAAUCUUUGACAAUUUUUGUAAUUUCAGCAAUUAUGGCUAUGAAUUUAUUUUUUUCGUUAUAAUUAUAGUCUCUUUUGUGUGACAGCGAAAAUGAUUUAAUAUUUCUAGAAUUAUAUUCAUGAAAAUUUACAUUAUUACAAAUAAAAUAAAUUAUAUCAAUUAACAUAAAAAUAAAGUAUGAAAGCGUUGAUCGGCUUAGAUCUCCUCAUAAUUAUAUCAAUUAACUACUUAUCCAUAAAAAUAAAUCGAUUUUUCAAUUUUACUUUUAUUUAUAGUAAAUGCAAAAAUUGUCUUUAAUUCUCUAUAAUUUUUUUAAAGGAUAAUUUAAUUAAAUUAAUGAACAUUUUAUUAUAAUUUAAGAUACAACAAAUAUUUGUGAAUGAAGGGAGUAUUUCUUUUUCUUUUACAAGAGACUCUAACUAAAACAAAAACUAUAAUAAAUAAAGAGAAAGAUAUAAAUAUCAUACAAAUGCUAUGAGAUAGGGGUGCCCGAAUUCCAGUUUUUGAAACCGGAACCGUCGAUUCAGAACCGAUUGGAACCGAAACUGGCUAGAACUGGAACCAUAUUGAAGAGGUUGCUGUUCGGUUUCAGCUUUAAAUUUUUAGAAUCGUGAAUAGGUGGUUUAAAGAACUGGUCGAAACCGAAGGUUUUGAUAAUCGCUUAGAACCAGCAGUUCCAACACAUUUUUAUUUUAUUUUUAUCAAAAUCUUCAAAUUAACCCCUCUAACAUCUAUAAACGGCUAUAUAAUAUCUAGUUAUAUUAACGGUAUUUGUGUAAGUUAGAUUUUUUAACUUUAAAACUAUGUAAAACCGAUCGAAAAACCGUUGAUUUUGGAACUAUUAAGGAACCAGAAUCAUCGGUUUUACAAUCUUGCUUUACUUUUUAUACAUAAUUAAAAGUCUUGACUUUGAUCACCAUGGUGGUAAGAUACAACUAAGAAACUUGAAACUGAGAAGUAUCUGAAACUGAGAAACUUUAAUGUCCUUGACCAAAUUCCUCUUGAAACAACUGAGAAGUAUCUUUCUCUGAGUUGGCUUCAGGCCAUCAAUCACGGAAGGAAUAGGUCUUUGAAGAUCCGCCACUGAAAACAAAAUAAGCUCCUUGUUAAUGAACUUGCUGUAUUUUAUUAGCUUCGGUAUAAAAGGAUAGAACAUUUCCACUGCUAUGAGUUGCCUGUACAAGAUAGAGCACCAAAAAUUAUGAAGUUCCGACGGUGAAGAUUUGUUUCAGGUGGGUGCCUGGACUGUUCUUUUUUGUUUAUUAUUUUUCUCAAUAAAAGGAAAACAUUUAUAUUUUUCCGUUGUUUUCUUUUUUUUUAAGGUAUAAUUUUCCUUUGUUUUCAAAGCUAUAAAUUUACAAUUUUAAAUUCAUUCUUAUUUAUUUAUAGAUAUAUAAUGUGAAAGGGUAUUAUUAUAAUUAUGUAUAAUAUCAUUUAUUCUCGAUAUGUUUUUUUUUUUUUUUUUAACUGAAAGAUGACUUAAUUAUUAUUAGUAUCCAUCAAAAUUAUAUCAUGAAUAAAAGAAAGAUAAUUCAUGAUCCAUUAUGAAUCAGACAUAGAACCAGCAGUAUGAGCUAUCAAUGCGUUGCUUGACUCACUGAUCUCUUUAACAAAAGCAAAUGAUAAAAAAUUGAACUCCUUUGUAAAAAGUUUUACAAUCAGCUGUAAUAACGUAAGAAAAAUAAUAUUGACUUGUGUUUGACUCUCGAAUGACCAACAACUGUGACUCUCCACCUUCAAUGGAACAUUUUGGUAUCGUGUUUUCAACCAACUUAGAGCUUCCUUGAUCCCUGUCGUCUCUGCCAUCAGAGCACUCACCACACUAUCCAGUUUCGGCAGUCGGCCAUCAACACAUCUCCCCUCGCCAUCUCUAACCAGGCAUCCUACUCCCGCCAUGUCAUCCAAUGGGUUAUAGUUUGCGUGUUUCGUUUUCUAUUUAAUUUAAAGAGAUUAUAUAUUGUGAGCAGAACAAAAUUUAGUACAUUUUUAAUUAAUUUUUCUCUCUAAUUUUGAACAAUGCAAAAUGAUCCUUCCCCUUUAUUUUCCUCAGUUAAUUUUUUUGGCUGCAAUAUUUUAGACUAUAAAAAACUUUUAUCUCAUAUACCUUCGUGGUUCUUACUAAUUUGAAUUUUUUUAUACGAAAAGAGUUCAUUACAAGCCUAUCUCAUUUUCUUCCCCUUUUCCUGCUCAAAAAUCAUUUCCAAGCACUUAACAAUUCCACUUUGAGUAAUAACCCUACCUUCAACUCUCACAGCAACCCCCCACACCUCCUCUGCAACUUUUGCAUUUAUAUGAUUAUCUGCCCAAACUGACCUACAAAUCAUUGGCACUCCACCCAAUAUACUCUCCAACAUAGAAUUAUACCCACCAUGGUUUACAAACACACCAAUUGAAACAUGUUGCAGAACAUCUCUGUGUGCAGCCCAAGGAACCACCUUUCCUUUCUCAUUACUUCUUUCAAGAAACCCUUUUGGAAGAUUUUCUUUAUAUUUUUCUUUAAGAGACCAAAGAAAUGGCUUACCACUAAAUUCAAUUGCUUCAGCUAAUGCCAUUAACUCUUCACUUUCCAAUUCUAAAACUGUUCCAAAAGAUAUAUAGACAACAGAACCAACUUUUUGUCUAUCGAGCCAUGAAAAUAAACAACCUGCAGAANNNNNNNNNNNNNNNNNNNNNNNNNNNNNNNNNNNNNNNNNNNNNNNNNNNNNNNNNNNNNNNNNNNNNNNNNNNNNNNNNNNNNNNNNNNNNNNNNNNNNNNNNNNNNNNNNNNNNNNNNNNNNNNNNNNNNNNNNNNNNNNNNNNNNNNNNNNNNNNNNNNNNNNNNNNNNNNNNNNNNNNNNNNNNNNNNNNNNNNNNNNNNNNNNNNNNNNNNNNNNNNNNNNNNNNNNNNNNNNNNNNNNNNNNNNNNNNNNNNNNNNNNNNNNNNNNNNNNNUUAGCGAAAAGCUUUUGAAUUUUAUCCAUUUAAAAAUAGCAAACAAGACCAUGUGGUGUAGGUACUGUAAAGGCUAUCCAUGGAAUAUUCAUAUCCUCGCCAUUUUUCCAACCGGAAAACAGAUAACAGCAUCUGUCAUUAUGAAGUGUCAGAAAAUUAGGUAUUAGAGAUCCCUCUAUAAAAUUCAAUCAACGACGUUAAAAGAACUCUAACCAAAACCUCACUUCAACAAAUAGCACCAUAUUUCUUUUUAGUGGCCAUCAAUUAGCUUUCUUUUACUUGGUACAUAAACUGGCAACAGAAGCUUCUCAAUUUCAUUUUUCUUUCUUCUACUUAGCAAAAACUAACCCAAUUGUAAAUAAUGUCAUUUUAUAUUGGAUGAAAAUGAAAAUUAAAAUAUAGAACGCAGAAACGAACAUAAAGAAAAAAGUAUUUAUAUAUAUAUUUUUUAAAUAUAAGAGAAGAAAAAUGUAAAAAUAUUUAGUAGAAAAAAAUGUGAUAUUUAUUGUGAAAUAUAUAUAUGUAUCCUUGUUAUAAUCUUUGUUCUUAUUAAAGAUGAAUAAAAUUUUACUAUUUAUAUAAAAUAAUUCUUCCUAUUUUACUAUAUAUAUAUAUAUUAAUUUAUUAUUCUCUAUAUUAGUUGUUUCUUAGAAAUUAACAUAAAAUAUGAAUUUUCUAUAUUAAUCAAGCUUUCUUUCCUUCUCUUUUUUUUUUUUAACUUUUAAAAUGGGGAGCAAAGCUUAAUGAAUUACAAUGCACAUUCUAGGAUGAGCUAAAAUCAAGUUUUCUUCUUCGUUUUUUUUUUUUUUAAACCACCUGGUAUCCAGCACAGCUGACUAAUCUGGAUUCGGAUUCUGCAAAGACCCAUUAUGGGGGCGACCGUUCCAACUCAAUUUUCUCCAUUCACACUAGAAUAUUGCUUAAAAGAUCAAGCUUUCUUUAGUAAUAUUAUUUUUCUCAUUCAAUUGCUUACUCUUUUUUUUUUUUUUUAGUAUAAUUAUAGAUAUCUCUAGCCAAUUAAGUUAGGACUAAAUUCUGCUCAAAUUAGGUCAACCCCAUUAAGGAGGAGUGGCACUCAUCGAUUGCGAUUGCUAAUAUUUAAAACCUUAAUAUGCACCUGCAUAAAUAAACGUGUUUUUAGUUUAAUCUUAUUAGUUGGGUAUGUUAUGGAGGUUGCUCAGCUAAUCCAUAAUAGAGUUUAGUACCUAAACUAAGUUCAUCUUUGCUUAGUCAAACUAACGAAUGGAGGUUGAGAAAGUUAGCUACUACAGAAUAUAGAUCCCUCUAUAAAAUGCAAUCAAUACCAUUUCAAACAAGAACAAAAACUAAGAGCGAAACCAAAAGGAAAAGACCAAAAAAAAAAAAAAAAACUUUCUUUCUUAUUUCCCUAUUCUCUCUUCACAAUGCCAUUAACCCAAAGCUCAUCACCAUAAAUAGCAGCAAGUCAUGUAGCUGUGUGCACAUGGCCAUUUAGUAGCCAUCCUUUUGGUUUCUUCAACUUAGUUCGUAAAUUAGCGGCAGAAGCUCCUCAAACUCAGUUUUCUUGCUUCAGCUUACCGAAAGCAAACUCCAUUAUCAAGUCACCUCAAAAGAACUCUCCAUAACCACCUACCCUCAUGUCCUACGACGUAGACGACGGCAUUCCGGAAGGAGUUAAUCACUUAACAAUAGAUCAUGCCAUGGAAGUCAGGCAUUUCCUCGAUCAGUUACCGUAC
rnacentral:lncRNA from 1 species